rnacentral:tRNA from 1 species
UGCAUCGGCCGGGAAUCGAACCCGGGCCGCCCGCGUGGCAGGCGAGCAUUCUUCCACUGAAAAAACCGAUGG